rnacentral:rRNA from 1 species
GCUUGCAGAAACUUGCAUACAGGUGCUGCACGGCUGUCGUCAGCUCGUGUCGUGAGAUGUUGGGUUAAGUCCCGCAACGAGCGCAACCCUCGUCCUUAGUUGCUAACAGUUCGGCUGAGAACUCUAAGGAGACUGCCUACGCAAGUAGGAGGAAGGUGAGGAUGACGUCAAGUCAUCAUGGCCCUUACGUCCAGGGCUACACACGUGCUACAAUGGGGUAUACAAAGAGCAGCAAUACGGUGACGUGGAGCAAAUCUCAAAAAUGCCUCCCAGUUCGGAUUGUAGUCUGCAACUCGACUACAUGAAGUUGGAAUCGCUAGUAAUCGUAGAUCAGCUAUGCUACGGUGAAUACGUUCCCGGGUCUUGUACUCACCGCCCGUCACACCAUGGGAGUUGAACUCAUUCGAAGCGGGGAUGCUAAAGUAGCUACCUUCCACAGUGGAUUCAGCGACUGGGGUGAAGUCGUAACAAGGUAACCGUAGGAGAACCUGCGGUUGGAUCACCUCCUUU